UACAGAGGUCCCAAGCGUUGUUCGGAUUCACUGGGCGUAAAGGGUGCGUAGGCGGUCAAGUAAGUCUGAUGUGAAAUCCCGCAGCUUAACUGCGGAACGGCAUUGGAUACUAUUUGACUAGAGGAUUGGAAGGGAGACUGGAAUACUUGGUGUAGCAGUGAAAUGCGUAGAUAUCAAGUGGAACACCAGUGGCGAAGGCGAGUCUCUGGACAAUUCCUGACGCUGAGGCACGAAAGCCAGGGGAGCAAACGGG
rnacentral:rRNA from 1 species